rnacentral:rRNA from 1 species
AUUGAACGCUGGCGGCAGGCCUAACACAUGCAAGUCGAACGAGUGGCGGACGGGUGAGUAAUGUCUGGAAAACUGCCCGAUGGAGGGGGAAAACUACUGGAAACGGUAGCUAAUACCGCAUACCAUCGGAUGUGCCUAGAUGGGAUUAGCUAGUAGGUGGGGUAACGGCUCACCUAGGAGACGAUCCCUAGCUGGUCUGAGAGGAUGACCGGCCACACUGGGACUGAGACACGGUCCAGACUCCUACGGGAGGCAGCAGUGGGGAAUAUUGCACAAUGGGCGAAAGCCUGAUGCAGCCAUGCCGCGUGUAUGAAGAAGGCCUUCGGGUUGUAAAGUACUUUCAGCGGGGAGGCGUUACUGACAGAAGAAGCACCGGCUAACUCCGUGCCAGCCGCCGCGGUAAUUC